CCGCAUGAGGCUCAAGCUUGUAUCUGCACAAUUGCAACUUCUUAUGGUGUCUAUCAAUCUAAUGACUACUUGUCAAUCAUCAAUAUCUUGAACCCAUGCUAGAUCUUGAAGCACAGUUUCCACUGCUGAAUUUGGGACCACUGCUGAAUUUGGGACAAGCAAACCCACUAUCCGCUGGUUAUCUGUGGUGGUUUCUAAUCGCACAACACGAAUUCGCUUAUGGCUUUGACGAGCCUGCUUAGAUAGGGCCUUCUCAAUAGUGCCCCAGAUUGGAACAAUGAGGCCUCCCAAAACACUCACUUCCUGUAGUCUUCUGCCAACAGUACAGAAAUUGCCAAGUUUACAAUUGGGCCCAUGCAUGCACUGUUUAGAUGAAACUUCAUACUCAUCUUCCCAGCCACUACGAGCUUUCUCAAGAGAAGAUAAUUUUCUAUAUUUGUUUCUUAACUCAGACAAAGGCAUUUCCCUCAAUGAUUCCCCAACAGCAGGCCUGACAAUCUUAAACAUGCCAGAAGCAGGACUUUCAAAUGCUAAAACAAAGUGACGUCUUCCCAACCAUUCCCUCUUAGAUUCAUAGAAUCCAUCGUUAGAAGAUCCGAGGUGAUCCUUUUGCUUCUCCUCAAGUAUGGCACUUGCAGACUCCCAUGUGAUUCCACGAUCCAGAGUAAAAGUAAACAGAACUGUUGACGCCCCAGACAUUUGAUCAACAUGAACAGUCUUUGGAGUUCCUUGCAGU
rnacentral:misc_RNA from 1 species